rnacentral:rRNA from 1 species
UUUAAGAGCCGCAGUAUUAUAACUGUGCAAAGGUAGCAUAGUCAUUAGGUUUUUAAAUGGAAUCUUGUAUGAAUGGUUGGACAAAGAAGAAGCUGUCUCUAUAUUAAAGUUUGAAUUUUACUUUUAAGUGAGAAGGCUUAAAUAGUUUAAAGGGAAGAUAAGACCCUAUAAAGCUUUACAUUAAAAUUAUAUUUAGUUGAAUUUUAACUAAUAAAGAGUUAAUAUAAUUAUUUGUUGUGUUGGGGAGAUAAAAGUAUAAUUUAUAUUAGCUGCUUGAGAAAUAUACAUUUGUUAGUGGAAUAAUGAUUAAUAGAUCCUAAUUGUAGAUUUGAAGAUUAAGUUACUUUAGGGAUAACAGUGUAAUUUUUUUUGAGAGUUCUUAUUGAUAAAGAAGUUUGCAACCUCGAUGUUGAAUUAAGAAAUCUAUAUAAUGUAGUUGUUAUAUUAGAGGGUCUGUUCGACCUUUAAUUU